rnacentral:rRNA from 1 species
GCAAGUCGAGCGGUAGAUUGAUUAAAGAAGCUUCGGUGGAAUUACUUGAUUGAGAGCGGCGAACGGGUGAGUAACACGUUGGUAUCUGCCCCCAAGUCAGGGAUAGCCAUUGGAAACGAUGAUUAAUACCGGAUAGUCUCUUCGGAGUAAAAAUUUAUUGCUUGGGGAGGAGCCUGCGGUCUAUCAGCUAGUUGGUGAGGUAAUAGCUCACCAAGGCUAUGACGGAUACCUGGUCUGAGAGGAUGAUC